AAAAUACAACCUCAUGAUUUAUUUCUUAUUAUGUGCUGAAACAGGUUAAACAACCCCUACGGGGCCUGCCUAACCAAUUCUGUGUAACCAAUCCUUAUAUCUCCAAUGUGAAUACAUCUUUCUCACAGAUGGAUAACAGGCUGGAAGUACAACCUUUACAGAAGCUUACAGAUUUUUUACACGUUCUUUGGAGACUGACUUGUGCUUGCUCCUCCUAGUCUCAAAGUAUGCUUGAUGAUUGUGCAAGGGGAAUGCCAAAGUGAAAUGAAGCUGCUAUACUUCGUUAUCCAGCAUUUAAAAGGAGAAAGAAAGGAAUCCUUUAGGAACAAGUCAAGGGUACUCACAUAACUGAGUAUUAUUAACAUAGGGCUUGUUUUGAGUGAGAUUACAUUUUAUUUAAUAUUAAUGCUAUUACCUCUAAUAAUAAUAAAUGUUAGGAGAUAUUAUUUGUGGAGACAGUCAAUGACAGUGGAUAGAUAAGCUGAGAAACUCAGUUAUUUUUUAAAGCAGAUAAACAACAGUUGUGCAACACAAUAUAAAAAAAACAAAUGUAUUUAUUCCGUUGAUUUGGCUACAAUAACUUGAACUACUCCUUGCUAGUUAUGAAGAUUAGUUAAUGUACUUAUUUGUAUUACAUGUUCAAACAAAAAAUGUGUGUAAAAAUAUUUUAAAG
rnacentral:lncRNA from 1 species